CCUCUCUGGUUCAGGAGGACAGGGAAAGGACAGUUUUAAUCCAGGAGGGAUUUAAACACAGAAGGGUCUCUGUGCCAGGGGAAGCUGAGCCACGGUGGGGUGCUGCUGGUGGAGCAGAGAUUGUAAUAUCUCAUAAUAUCUGCUGUGAUAAAAAAAAGAGUCCAGCCAGGAGGAGUUUGUUUAAGAGAGAAUUAUUUAUUAGAAGAUAGGAGGUUGUUACGUACAGAUUCUGUCCUGCAAAAGUGUCCUGGUCAAGGAAAUGUCAGGGAGACAUUUAAAGCCACCGAGCUGGCCCUGCUCUCCACGCUGAGAUACUCAGACACUGCAGAGCCCUGCCAGGCCUGGCUGCACGCCGGGCUCAGCUGGGACAGCCGGGUACCACAGCAUCCCUGGGCUCGUGUCACCGCCUGCAUCCCACAGGAAAGGUGUGGGGACAGCAGCAGGGACACUGCUCUUCCCUGGGCUCACCUGGGACAAUUCCCCAGGCAGGGAAUGGCUUCCAUCGGGCCAGCCAGGAACGUGGCUGAGCAAGAGACACAACCAUGCUGUGAGGUAGCAUGAGGAAAAUCAAAGAAAAAAGGAAAAGGACAAGCAAAGGUCUCUGUGAUUCAGAGAAGAGCUCUCGCUCACCCCAAAGCAGGCCAAGCAGCGUGGCUGAGCCCCUGGAGAAGCAGCACUUGUGCCUCCAGAGCCGUGUUCCCUGGAGCCCAGCCCUGCUGGCCCUGGGGCUCUGUCCAUCCCUGCUGGCCCCGGGGCUCUGUCGGGCACUGCCCGAGUGCCGAGGCUGCUGCCAGGGCUGGCACCUCCUGAGCAGCCCCAGAGCCGUGGGCAGCUCUGCUGGAGGAGGCACAGCACAGCAGAGGGGAAGGAAAGGCUUCCCCACGCCCUGGCAAUGCCAGCAGGGCCCAGACCCUGCCCCGUGGCUGCUCAGGGGCUCACGGCACCUUCGGGCUUGGAUCCACGGCAUCCCCUGGGCUCCUCCUCGCUCCAGCAUCUUCCUGUUCCACUGCACCUGUGCCAGAGCAGCCCUGACUCCUGACAGACAAACAGCCAAAUACACAUUGUCCCAGCAUCUAGCAGGUUUCUUAAAGGAAGGUAUUAUCCAAAAGAAAAUCUGUGUAACUUUCUAAUUUAUGGGUGCUGAAAUAAUUAUUCUGGAGUCUGAUUUCUCCGUCUGGUCCUCUGAAGAAGCCACAUUCUUGUCUUUGCUGGCUGGGGCAGAAUAUUACCUUCACUCACUGUCUGUAAAGUCCCAUCUCGCUCUAACUUUCCUUAUUAAAUCCUCAUUAUGGUUCCAGAGACUACAUGAAAAACGCUGGGUGUGAUCCCCCACUUUGCUCCUAGAGUACACAACCUUUUGUCUACUAUCAGCACUCCAUCAGGAUUAUUGUCCUUUCAGUCCUCAGUAAUCUGAAGGAUUGUUAAACCAGGUUGGACCAAAAAUAUUGUUGGACCAGCUUUGUCAGAAAUGUAACAUAAUUGUCAGAAACAUCUGUUUCUGGCUCAGCCAUCACCACAUCUCUCUCCUCAUCUCCAUCCAAGAGUAGCCUUUGUUAGCUUGGAAUACCAGAAAGCUUUGGAACAAGAGGUCUGGCAAUGGAUGUCCACAGCUGACACCAACAGCAGCACAGAAGAUGGGUCAGACUACCGAGCUCAGACAGGGCAUUUGUGAGACAACAAUUCCCCUUCCCUGCAGAUGAGCUGCAGGGCUGGAGCUCCUGGGGAUGCAGAGUAACAGGAAUACUGGGGCCAUAAAGCAAAGCAGCAGAGCUCCAGUUAUCUCUAGGGUAGGAAACACUCAGCACUGAGAUAGCUUUGCUACAGAUAUGUCUAUUUUAAAUCAGGCUUUAUGUCCCUAAGGCACUCAGACUCCUUUUUUGGAACAUGUACCUGAAUGCAUUUGAUGUUUGGGGAUGGGAGGGUUAAGAAAAAUGUUCCCCAAGGACACCCACAUGAAGGGAAGAGAUGAUCCAGACCCACUGAGUUAUCAAAACCUCUGGAGCAAUCAUGAUCACAUCUUCAGCUUUUUAAGGAUUUCAGCAGCACUGGAUGUGCUCUCACUUUCUUCACUCUCUGGAAAGGGGCAAGCUGGGGAAGCUGGGCCCUCUGAGAGCAAGCCAGAGCUCCUCACUCACUGUUUGCUAGGAAACAACAAAUCUGGAGGUUUGAUCUGCCCUUAAAGCUGGUUUAAUUCCAGCUCAGUCAGGUGGGAGGAACACAGAGCAGACAACAGAAUAGCUCAUUUGGAUUUCAGCCUAACGUUUUUGUUCCAUUAUUGUCUUCCAGAUCCGGUUCUUUGGCCACCCACGAUGAAAACGUGUCCCUGCCAAGACCUCCUGGAACACCUUGAGGAGUGAAGCUCCCCUGCCAGAGCUGCCUGGGUGCUGCAGAUGGGAAAAGCUUUCCUGGAUGUUUCCAGAGAGGAAAGGCAGGAGAGAGGGAUGUUUUCCCUCCAGAGCAAAGGUACAGGAGCCUUUUUCCUGGGGCCAGACGAGGGCCAGCAGUGCUGAGCAUCCCCCAGGGGCUGCCAGCAGAGCUCCUGGAGCCUGUGCCAUGCUCAGGACAGAGGGGCACAGCCCAGGGCUCAGUCCCAGGCCUGCUGGCACCAGGGCAUGGCUGUGUUUGAGUAUCUCAGCUGGGCUCACAGGACCAGCUCUGACAGUCCCCAAAGGCAGAGAACGUUGGAGUUUCUGUGUGAAUGGCGUUACAGGGGAUGGCUGUCACACAGAAAGAUUUUGAACAUUAAUUACAGUAUCUUUUGUAACUUUAUCAUUUAAUUGCCAACCCUUUUCCCUUCAAUUAACCAUGGAUGUACAGCAUAUAAUCGAACAAGCUUUUUUUAAAAAGUACAUCUUAAUAUAAAUAGUUUAUUCAGUGCAUGGUUGUGUAUACAACAAAUAAUAAACAACUUUUUUGUACCA
rnacentral:lncRNA from 1 species